AAGACAUUUGCUCACACAAGGGAAUGUGGAAUCCUAUAUAUAUACUCCUUGGGCCCCCCAAAGAAGUGAGAGUUCAUGGGCUGACAAAAAGCCUGGAGAAUGGCUCGAGAAGUCGAGAUUUUUAGUCUCUGUGGGCUUUACGUUCACAUUUAGAAGUAGGUUUCGUGCAGCUUUAUUUUUAGGUGUUUUCUUAAAAAGAUUAUCUCAAGCCUUAUCUCCAGGAUGGUGAACUAUCUUAAAACCUAUGUAAAGUACUUUGAACUGUG
rnacentral:lncRNA from 7 species